rnacentral:rRNA from 1 species
GAUGAACGCUGGCGGCGUGCCUAACACAUGCAAGUCGAGCGGAAAUUCAAGAAGUAGUAAUACGGAUUGGAUUUUAGCGGCGGACGGGUGAGUAACACGUGAGUAACCUGCCUUUAGCAGAGGAAUAACAUUGGGAAACCAGUGCUAAUACCUCAUAACAUCACCGGAUGGCAUCAUCUGGCGAUCAAAGGAGAAAUCCGGCUAAAGAUGGACUCGCGUCCGAUUAGCUAGUUGGUGAGGUAAAGGCCCACCAAGGCGACGAUCGGUAGCCGAACUGAGAGGUUGAUCGGCCACAUUGGGACUGAGACACGGCCCAGACUCCUACGGGAGGCAGCAGUGGGGAAUAUUGGGCAAUGGGCGAAAGCCUGACCCAGCAACGCCGCGUGAAGGAUGAAGGCCUCGGUGUAACUUCUUGAUCAGGACGAAAAAUAGAACGGUACCUGAAGAACAAGCCACGGCUAACUAACGUGCCAGCAGCCGCGGUAAUACGUCUA